UCCGUCCGCCAGCAUCCUCCGGAACCGGGAACGGUGCGGCCAGCAUCCCCCGUCAAAGUAACAUCCAGUCAGGCUUUGCAUGGCAUGAGGCAGAAACAGGAUUUUCUAGCAUGCUGUGAAAUCUGAUCUCUGGAACUCUCAGUGAAGACAUCUACUUGAUACUUGCAAUGUAAAUUAGC
rnacentral:lncRNA from 1 species